CCUACGGGGGGCUGCAGUGGGGAAUUUUGCGCAAUGGGCGAAAGCCUGACGCAGCAACGCCGCGUGGGUGAUGAAGGUCUUCGGAUCGUAAAACCCUGUCGUUGGGGACGAAGGUGGGGGCGUUAAAAGCGUUUCUGCUUGACGGUACCCGGAGAGGAAGCCCCGGCUAACUCCGUGCCAGCAGCCGCGGUAAUACAGAGGGGGCAAGCGUUAUUCGGAAUUAUUGGGCGUAGUUGGCGCGUUCAGGGUUGUAAUCCCCGGGCUCAACUUUGGAACUGCAUCUGAGACUGGAAGGCUAGAGUACUGGAGAGGGUGGUGGAAUUCCUCGUGUAGCGGUGAAAUGCGUAGAGAUGAGGAGGAACACCAGUGGCGAAGGCGGCCACCUGGACAGUAACUGACGCUGAGGCGCGAAAGUGUGGGUAGCAAACAGGAUUAGAUACCCGGGUAGUC
rnacentral:rRNA from 1 species